AAUUGUAUCUUGUGAUGAUUUUUUGAGUAGGAAUCUCACUGAGCUUCAGUCAUUCGUUGCUAUGAAAUUAACUUAAUCUCUUACUGAUUCUCUCAUU